UUUCCCUUCCUGCCCUUAACCCGUCUUAAGUGAAAAAUAGAGAUUUUCCAUUUUUUCCGAUCUUCAUGUUUAUCCGCGGAAACUUAACAUUUUUUCUGUGGAAACAUAUCUUUAUUUUUGUUUUUAUAAAAUAAAAACAUAAACCGUCAUAGCAUCUAUGGGCUCGUUCUUAAAGAAUCGUAAGUGGGCUUGUAGUCGCGCUUUAAACCAUGUUGGGCCGUCUUU
rnacentral:lncRNA from 1 species